AGGGAAAACCAGGAGCCAGAGGUUUGCCAGGCCCCAGAGGUGUACCCGGAUUAGAGGGCGAUGAGGGCCCACUGGGACCACCGGGGCCGACAGGACUGGAGGGGAGAAUGGGCAGAAAAGGUUUUCCGGGGAAGCUUGGGCCAGAGGGUGUGAAGGGAGAGCCUGGC